UACGUAGGGUGCAAGCGUUGUCCGGAAUUAUUGGGCGUAAAGAGCUCGUAGGCGGUCUGUCGCGUCGGCUGUGAAAUCCCGAGGCUCAACCUCGGGUCUGCAGUCGAUACGGGCAAACUUGAGUGUUGCAGGGGGAGACUGGAAUUCCUGGUGUAGCGGUGAAAUGCGCAGAUAUCAGGAGGAACACCGGUGGCGAAGGCGGGUCUCUGGGCAACAACUGACGCUGAGGAGCGAAAGCGUGGGGGAGCGAACAGG
rnacentral:rRNA from 1 species